GGUUGUGUGAUGUAGAGGUCAGCAUCCUGGAUUUUGAUUCCAGUAACCCGGGUUCGACUCCCGGCACGACCU
rnacentral:tRNA from 1 species